GGAUGCAGGCAAAUCCCCAUAAAUAACUGAACCUUUUCAUGUCAACUGGUACAAAUAGCAGUCACUUCAAACAAUCUGACCUUUCUUGGGGAUUCUGACCAAUCUGCAGUGGAAGUUGGCUGAUAUCUUUCAGGAUUUUCCACAGUUAAGGAAAUGAAUGCCUGGGGUGGAAUGAUCUUCUGGGGGAACUGAGCAAGAUGCAAUUUAAUGCCUCCCCUCUCAGAGGCAGAGAGCAUCCAGCGUGGGAGAGAGAGGCUGAUAGCCCACAACUGCCAUCAUCCCACAAGAGCUGUACUUCAGAUUCUUGGGAAUGUGACCCGUGAAGUCCAGCAACAAAGGCAGUCAGGCUGGUAACUCCAACUGGAGACCUCCCUAUCAUCUCAGCCUCACUGCUCCACUCCCUGACUACCUCCAAGCCCUGCAGAGCUUUGCUCUCCCUCCUCAGUGGGAUUCUGUAAUCCCUGCUGAUGACACACUGCUCGUGAUCUGUAGUUGGCAUCGGUUACAGAAGAUUUCUGGAAGAGAGCACUGAACUGUUUGGGUUUGGUGGGAUGGGGUAGCAGGGAGGGAAACAAAUUAGAAGCACAGGAGCUUGGCUUCUAACACAGGGGCCUGAGGGUGUCAUAUUUGGGUGAACAACUGCUCUAUCACAGUGUCUGUGUAACUAAAACUCUGUCCAAAGAACAGAGUUUGUUCAAGGUU